rnacentral:misc_RNA from 1 species
GAUGAAGAACGUAGCGAAAUGCGAUAAGUAGUGUGAAUUGCAGAAUUCAGUGAAUCAUCGAGUCUUUGAACGCACAUUGCGCCCUUUGGUAUUCCUUAGGGCAUGCCUGUUCGAGCGUCAUUUAAACCUUCAAGCUAAGCUUGGUGUUGGGUGACUGUCCGCUUCACGGCGGACUCGCCUCAAAAUUAUUGGCGGCCGGUACAUUGGCUUCGAGCGCAGCAGAAACGCGAACUCGGGCCCGUCGUAUUGGCUCCCAGAAGCUAUCUUCACAAUUUUGACCUCGGAUCAGGUAGGGAUACCCGCUGAACUUAAGCAUAUCAAUAAGCGGAGGA